rnacentral:rRNA from 1 species
GUGUCAGCCGCCGCGGUAAUACGGAGGGUGCGAGCGUUGUUCGGAAUUAUUGGGCGUAAAGCGCGUGUAGGCGGUCCGUUAAGUCUGAUGUGAAAGCCCAGGGCUCAACCCUGGAAGUGCAUUGGAAACUGGCGGACUUGAGUACGGGAGAGGGAAGUGGAAUUCCGAGUGUAGGGGUGAAAUCCGUAGAUAUUCGGAGGAACACCAGUGGCGAAGGCGGCUUCCUGGACCGAUACUGACGCUGAGACGCGAAAGCGUGGGGAGCAAACAGGAUUAGAUACCCUGGUAGUCCACGCCGUAAACGAUGGGUACUAGGUGUUGCGGGUAUUGACCCCUGCAGUGCCGAAGCUAACGCAUUAAGUACCCCGCCUGGGGAGUACGGUCGCAAGAUUAAAACUUAAAUGAAUUGACGGGG